rnacentral:lncRNA from 1 species
GGCACAUGUUUCAAGUAACUGAACUAUUUAUGACAUAAUUAUGUUGCAAAAUACAUUAAUAUUUAAUUGGAUAUUUUAAAUUUUAUGUUCUUUAGCUUUUUUGCCUUUUUGGAAUAAUAAAUUAAAAACACUAUAAGACUGUUGCGAGAUUAAGGAAUUCUUUUUCUCCAAAUACUUACAAUACUUGCCAAUUGCCAUUGGUACAGAUGGCACUUCUUAUCAUCGUAGAUGGCUUUUACAUGUUACUAUUUCUGAGUGAGAAAAAUAGAUAUCUUUUCGAAAGCCCUUAUCUAGUAGUCCUACCACCAUCUGUACACCAUGGAGAAAACGUGCCAAAUUCAUUAUCUCACCAAGGCCAUUAUGAAUGACAAGUACCAUAUUUUCUGCGUCAUAGAUAUUACUAGUUAUGUUUAAUGAAUUAAGCAUCAAUGAAAUGUAGUUUUUUUAUGUUAAAAUAAUGUAAUUUAUUAUCUGAACUACUUUUUACUAUCCUUUUUUAUGUUUUGCCAUAAUUUCCUACUAAUUACCAAAGUAACUUAUUUACCCCUUAAUACUGCAGUUUGUUAUUUGAAGGGAAUUUCUGUUCACUUUUGUGCUGCUAAAGACUUUUCAGAGUUGCAUGAAAAUUUGAUAUGCCCAAAAUCCUCUAAACUUCUUAUUUUGGAAUAAAAUUACAACCCUUACAUUAUCUAAGUAUUGAAGCAAUAGUUCCUUCAAGUAUAAAUAUUAUUUCAAGAGUUGCAAAAAGUUAAAAAUGUUAAGAAAUGCUGGUUAUAGCAUCAAGAAAAAAUAACCCAGCACAAAAUUAUAAAAAACUGAGACAAUAUUUAGAAAUGCCUUUUACUAAGCAUUCCGAAAACAUAACUGCAACCCAUAAAAAUUUAAAUUUACCAAUGCAUUCUUUCAGCAGUAAAAUCAAUAAAAUUUUGGAAGAUUA